AAUAGAUACCCCGGUAGUCCAUGCCGUAAACGUUGGGAACUAGAUGUAGGGCCUGUUCCACGGGUUCUGUGUCGUAGCUAGCGCAUUAAGUUCCCCGCCUGGGGAGUACGGCCGCAAGGCUAAAACUCAAAGGAAUUGACGGGGGCCCGCGACAAGCGGCGGAGCAUGCGGAUUAAUUCGAUGCAACGCGAAGAACCUUACCAAGGCUUGACAUAUACGAGAACACUGUAGAGAUACAGGACUCUUUGGACACUCGUAUACAGGUGGUGCAUGGUUGUCGUCAGCUCGUGUCGUGAGAUGUUCGGUUAAGUCCGGCAACGAGCGCAACCCUCGUCCUAUGUUGCCAGCACGUGAUGGUGGGAACUCAUGGGAUACUGCCGUGGUCAACACGGAGGAAGGUGGGGAUGACGUCAAAUCAUCAUGCCCCUUAUGUCUUGGGCUUCACGCAUGGCUACAAUGGCCGGUACAAAGGGCUGCGAUACCGUAAGGUGGAGCGAAUCCCAAAAGCCGGUCUCGAGUUCGGAUUGGGGUCUGACC
rnacentral:rRNA from 1 species